UGUAAAUAGUGGUUGGUUGGUAAGCAGGCAUGUUAAGUGUAGGAAAAGCACCGCACCCAACCAGGAAGCACAGCAUGUAAAAUGGAGAGAAAUCUUAAGCGGCGUGUGUAGAAUCGCGCCAAAACACUUCGGUCCCAAAGGAGAAAGAAUAAAAUGAGAAGAAAGAAGAAGAAGAUUUACUCACCAGACAUUAUUGGCGUGAAGAGGAGCAGGACCCAGUGAAACAACCCAAGCGCCUGUUCUUGGCUCUAUUAUAUGGGCAAUAACGAAAUAUUGCUAAAAUUGUUACAAAGUCUCAAUCAAUCACUCUUACAACACUCUCACUAUAUACAAUUAUGCAGUAAUAUAGCCAGGAAGGCAAUAGUUUGAGUUUUUCUGCCCUCAUCCCUACUAUUUAAAGUCCCAAGAACUCAAUGAUUUGACAAUGAUUUGAUUGCGCGAUACUUUCAAUUUGAAUAUUCAAAGACUUCGCAAAAAUACUUAUAUCUUAGCGAUAUUCGCUAUUAGAACGCAUGUAAGAGCACCCCCUUUAAUAGAAUAUUACUCCAUUUCACACUUUGACAUAAAAUCAAAAUUAUAUUUUUGACAUUUUAUCACCCUUUUGAUAUUGAUGCCAAGAGGCUGGCUGUGGAGCUCUCUUUGCAUUUUACAACAUCAAUGAGCGAGCAAAUGUCAUUUCAAACAACACCCAACACUAUACAAAUGUCCUAAAGUGCAUAACUAUAUAAAUAAAUAAGAUAUAAUGUG